GGUCUCUGAACGGUUACAUAUUUUGAAAGGUUCCAGAGACAACUAUUUAUUUGAUGUGCAACAAAUUAAGGGAGAGCGGUGUCUCCGAACCGAUACCGUCAAUUCGAGGAAUAUCACACCUAGACUACGUCAUUCCAGAGUAAUGGCUGCCGAUCGGGAUUCGGGAACUCACUGGCGCUCCGUGCUCGGCAGCAGUACAACUGGGCAGCAGCAGCACUGCAACACGGCAGUAGUAGCCAGAGACCGAAUAUUUGGCGACGGCGAAACGGAUUAUUUCGGGGGUACAAACCCGCAUGCAGACCUCAUCCAUCCGAAAGAAAGCGGGGGGCCCGGGCCCGGCCGAGGCACAUAUUCCUCCAUCCUCACGGUCACGGCGAGGGAGGUCGCAGCGCACGCACACCGCACUACGGGCGGCAGCAGCAGCAAGCGGCCACCAGGGGAAUCCACGGCGGCGACCACCCAAAACCCUGCUCAACUUGCACUGCCUGCCAGUCUGCCUCCACCGGCUUGCGUUGCAGUCGCAUGCAUCCGCC
rnacentral:lncRNA from 7 species